GAUGAACGCUAGCUACAGGCUUAACACAUGCAAGUCGAGGGGUAGCAGGGUAGCAAUACCGCUGACGACCGGCGCACGGGUGAGUAACACGUAUCCAACCUUCCCAUAACUCGGGGAUAGCCUUUCGAAAGAAAGAUUAAUACCCGAUAGUACUGUUUCAAGGCAUCUUGAGAAAGCUAAAGAUUUAUUGGUUAUGGAUGGGGAUGCGUUCCAUUAGAUAGUUGGUGAGGUAACGGCUCACCAAGUCUUCGAUGGAUAGGGGUGCGGAGAGGAAGGUCCCCCACAUUGGUACUGAGACACGGACCAAACUCCUACGGGAGGCAGCAGUGAGGAAUAUUGGUCAAUGGGCGAGAGGCUGAACCAGCCAAGUAGCGUGAAGGAUGAGGGUCCUAUGGAUUGUAAACUUCUUUUAUAGUAGAAUAAAGUGAUCCACGUGUGGAUUUUUGUAUGUAUACUAUGAAUAAGGAUCGGCUAACUCCGUGCCAGCCGCCGCCGUAA
rnacentral:rRNA from 1 species